GACGAACGCUGGCGGCGCGCCUAACACAUGCAAGUCGAACGAGCGAGAGAGAGCUUGCUUUCUCGAGCGAGUGGCGAACGGGUGAGUAACGCGUGAGGAACCUGCCUCAAAGAGGGGGACAACAGUUGGAAACGACUGCUAAUACCGCAUAAGCCCACGGCUCGGCAUCGAGCAGAGGGAAAAGGGGCAAUCCGCUUUGAGAUGGCCUCGCGUCCGAUUAGCUAGUUGGUGAGGUAACGGCCCACCAAGGCAACGAUCGGUAGCCGGACUGAGAGGUUGAACGGCCACAUUGGGACUGAGACACGGCCCAGACUCCUACGGGAGGCAGCAGUGGGGAAUAUUGCACAAUGGGGGAAACCCUGAUGCAGCGACGCCGCGUGGAGGAAGAAGGUCUUCGGAUUGUAAACUCCUGUUGUUGGGGAAGAUAAUGACGGUACCCAACAAGGAAGUGACGGCUAACUACGUG
rnacentral:rRNA from 1 species